CCCCCAAGAUUAUCUCCAAGUAAAAUUCUAAAACUAAAUCUGGCAUCAUUUAAUUACAAAUUACAUGCAGUAGACAAAGAGUUUUUAAUGAAAAUCUGGCUACAUGGUUGAAUUUCCCAUAAGGACAAUAAUAAAAAACAUCCACAGAAACACCCACAUGAUCAAAUCCCCACAAAAAUGGUUCAAUGACGACAAAAUCAAGCUUUUGAUAUGCCCAUUGAACAAAGUGCUAUAUACGUAUAUAUAUUUUAAUUUUCUUUGAAUAAAGAAAUUUCGUGAGAUCUUUCCAAAAGGUACCAAUAACUGUGGCUUUGGCUCUGCAUAACUUAUCUAUAUGUUUACUGUAUUUGCUGAAUCAUAGGCUUUAAGAUGUGAACUCUAUCCACACUGCUAUGCUAGGAGAGAUGUUUAAUGAACCAACAGUACAUUACAUUUUCUUACACAAACCACAAUGUUGUCUUAGGGUUAUUUUGUUUGUUUGUUUGUUUUCUUCUUGAUAAAUUACACAUCUGACUUUAAAAGAGGGACCAAUUUAUCAGGUUGAGGUUAAGCAACAACAUUUGUCCAAAGUGUGUGUGCAGUUGAAGAAUACCUGUGACCAUCUUCACAGUGAUCUUUGCAACUGACAGCACAACAUAUUGAGACCCCUUUGCUCAUUUGUUUGAAAAAUCCCUGAAUACUACAAGUUUAACAUGUAACUCACAAAACUGUGCAAGCACCCAAGCAAAGGAUGGGGAAAAUGGGGAUAGGGCCCAAGAGACCAUCUCCUGAGAAGAAAGACUGAUUCCCAGAUGGCUUCCGACACCCCUUAUAAAUGUACUACACAGUGUAACAUAACAAGAGUUGCUACACCUUAUGUAAUUCAUUAUAAAUCCAAUAACAGGCAUGAACAUGUACCACACUUUCCCAUUAAAUAGCCAUGCAGUAUUGCACCUGCACACAACUUAUGGUUGUGCAACAAGUGGUUCAUAUUUGUAUCAUUCAAACAUCUAUGAAAAGAAUGUACUUCUUU
ensembl:lncRNA